rnacentral:rRNA from 1 species
GAGGAAUAUUGGUCAAUGGGCGAGAGCCUGAACCAGCCAAGUCGCGUGAAGGAAGACUGCCUUAUGGUUUGUAAACUUCUUUUAUCCAGGAAAAAAAAGGCUUCGGUUUAGGCCAUUGCAAGUACUGUAUGAAUAGGCAUCGGCAACCUCCGUGCCAGCAGCCGCGGUAAUACGGAGGAUGCGAGCGUUAUCCGGAUUUAUUGGGUUUAAAGGGUGCGCAGGCGGGCUUUUAAGUCAGCGGUGAAAUCUGGACGCUUAACGUCCAAACUGCCGUUGAAACUGGGAGUCUUGAGUAUGGAUGAAGUAGGCGGAAUUCGUUGUGUAGCGGUGACAUGCAUAGAUAUAACGAGGAACUCCGAUUGCGUAGGCAGCUUACUAAGCCAUAACUGACGCUCAUGCACGAAAGCGUGGGGAUCAAACA